rnacentral:misc_RNA from 1 species
GGCAGAGAGAAGUGACAUCCCUAGCAUCGAUAAGAAGAAAUACCUAGUUCCAGCAGACCUUACUGUGGGACAGUUUGUUUAUGUCAUCCGUAAAAGGAUUAAAUUGAGCCCAGAGAAAGCGAUCUUUAUCUUCGUGGACAAUGUCCUCCCUCCUACAGGAGCAAUCAUGUCUGCAAUAUAUGAAGAGAAGAAGGAUGAAGAUGGAUUUCUGUAUGUUACUUACAGUGGAGAGAACACAUUUGGGUGGUAGCUGGCUUGUGUGCGAGACCUGAUUGUUCUUCAUCUGUUACACUUACAUCUUAGAUUUUCGCUUCGUUGCUACACCGUCAUCAUCUUCUUCUUCUGUUCUCCCUGCCUCUUCCUUUCGCUGCUUGUUGUUCUUCCAGUUCAAGGAUUCUGGCAAGUGAUAUCCUGUACAGCUCUACAUAAUGAAUAAAAAUUGUGAAAACAUUUCCAUACCAAAAAGUUCUUGCUUCAAAUAUUGGCUUUGUAGUUCCUUUUGCCCCCAAUUUUUUUGUGGGGUUUUCCUUCUGUUUAU